CAUAGAGUAACAGCAUAUACUAGUCUAGUAAUAACAACAUGUGAUAUCUGCUCUUAUGUUCUUACAGCUUAUAGCAUAUCAAUCUAACUGUCAGUAUUGAAGGAAUAAUUGGAUUACAUGCACAUUUCUUAAACGAGCUGACCUGAUCUGAGCAGCAAACACAAAAGAAGACAUGAUGUUCCUCUUUGAAGGCUCAGGCUCAUCUGCAACUGCAGUGUGGAUUUAUUCAGGUCUACUGAUCUCCAUUCCUUUCUCAAAGGGUUCAGAUGUUGACACACUUGAGGUUCAGUACACAGUGAUUCAUGGUCCAGGUGGCAAGCCGCAGUUUCAGCAGACAACUCUGUUCAAUGGACACGUGAUAUUUACCUGUAGCAGGCCAACACUGAGAGAUCAACCACAACAGGACUGGGUAACACACGCAUUCACCCAAGAGGAACUGGAGGAAAGACAUGAGCAGUGUGCAAGUCAGUGUAAUGAUCACUUUGCUUAAUUUGAGAAGAUAAAGCAGACUAUCACUGUUUCAGCAGAUAUUCUUCAAAUACGUCAAGGUUGUAUAAGCAACAGCUCAGGACAGAUUGCCUUUGAUAAGUGGGGUGUGAAUGGUGAGGACUUCCUGACUUUUGACCCUGAUGCUCUUAAAUGGACGGCUAUACAUGUAUACUAUACUAUAUAUACGAAUAUAUCGAUGUGAAGUUCACAGUGAGACUUUCAACAAGAUUGUUGUCUUUGAUGACCCAUCAACUCACUUGAAUAUGAUUUGGGCUCUUGCACUUGUCAUUGGGACUGCUGUAUGUAACAUUGUGAUUUUUGGGAUAAUAAUUGGUUGCCUUAUGUUGGUGCUGCGUGUGAGGAAGGUGAGGUGACGCGGUGGCAGCACCAGAGGCGGAGGCAGUUACACUCGUCUAAGGUGUUUUGUGUUCUGUGUUUGCGUCUUUGUGUCUUACUGACUAUUACUGAUUACUAAUUUUUACAUACGGGUUCCCCAACUGAUGACUGAUUCUCGUCUCCAGAAUUAUUCAA